rnacentral:lncRNA from 1 species
GAUGUUCUCAGAUGGUUUUAUCAACAUUAAGAGUAAUGAUUGUCUGACACAGAAACUGGGACUUGGCAAGAUCAACAGAUCUGACAUUUGAAGAAGGUCAGCCUAACUUGAAAGUUACAAAUCUUAACGGAAAAGCUGAAUGAAGCCUUGAUGUUUCAGGUCUGGAAGCCUUGAAAAAUGUGUUUCUCCAUAUUCUCUGGCAUCUUUGUUGUCCCUUGAAGGAAGCAGAAGCUCAGCUAAUGUGGGAGGAGGUAAGGGUGCCCAUAAUGACCAAAAUAGGAUGAUAACUUGUUUCUUGGGGAAUGAUUUAGUGUUUUACAAUUCAUCAAUCACUUAUCCACAUUUGACAAUCUUUAAGAUGCUCAAAAUGGUACAUAGCCU